AUAAAAUCCAAUUAAGUUCUGAAUUUUAAUUUGCUUCCAAGCAUGGGUUUGUUGCUCUGUGAAAAGAAUGAAAAUGUAAAUGACAUUUCUGUGUGUUAUCUACAUAAUCCAGAGCCUAGAAUAUCCUGUCAUGCUUAUUUUGUCUAGUGAUGAUAAAACUAAACAGUUUUAACUGAAUUUCCUGUAAAUGGGCAAAUAAUCAAAAAGGAACAUCUUUAUAUUUUGAUCUAUCAUUAAUUUAUGUAUAAAUGCUGUUAUGAAGAGAUUAGCUUUUCUGAAAAGAAUGAUUUUUGCCUGGCAUCUGACAACAAUGAUGGGCUGUAGCAUGUGAAAAGCUGUGGAUGGAAGAAAGCUGGACUUUUGAACUGUGAAUUUACCAAAAGACCAGAAGAGGGAAGCUCCCAAGAGGCCCAUAGGGCACCAGCCAUUGAUGCGCAGACACAGACCAUUGUGUCAAGUGUUACUACGACCUCCUAACCCCUCUUGUCCCUAAAUCCAGUGGAUCAGUCAUGGUCAUCUGCUAAGUUGUGUGUCUUACAUGAAUUGGUAGUACAUACUGAAAUGUGGCAGAAUGAAGAGGUGGUGACCUGAGGAUGUGGUAGGAGGCUGCACAAGUGAACUUGCUUCUGUUCCAGCCAUGGCUGGGGCAAUAAUGUCAUUGCAGUAAACUCUGCUUCCCAUUACCACUGACUAUUCCUGCCUUUCCUUCUUGCCUUAGAUUCACUUUAUUUAGACUAAACAUAGAAAAACAUCUGUACCUGGACUCACUACAGCAGGGAUGAGAACAGCAUUACCUGAACCCAGAUUCUUCUGCACUUCACAAAGUUAUGCAUCCUGUUCUACAUUGCUCCAAGUUCAGAAAGGUGACAACUUUUAUGCCUCUUCAUGCCCUGUAAAGUAUUAAAGGACAGCCAGGCACACAGUGAAGAUGGGCAUUACUGCAGCUCUUGAAAUGCAUGCAUAAGAAAUUAUUAACGUGGGACUUGGCUGCUGCAGGGGCGCAGGACAAGCUGGACUGCACUGACUCCAGAGGCAGUUCUCAUGAAGAACUGAAGUGUCCGGGCACUCAGAAAACAAGGAGAGCCGUUCCUGGGCAGGGAAUGGAGAGAUGAGAGCUUGGGCAGAGGGAACCAAUGUGGACUGGCUGGGGAGCAUGAAAAUGGGCUUUGGAAAUGCAAGGUGAUUUGAAGCCCAAGGACAUUCAGUAAGAACCUUCCUAUUGAACAGAGGGCUUCUGCCCCCUAAACAAAACCCAUACAUUUUAGGUUUUUUGAAUACUGCUUUGCUUAAUCUUCCAUUGCCAUAGUGUGGCAUCUUUAUACAAAUAGUUGUUUGUAUUGGGGUUGGAUUUGGUUGUGGGUUUGGUUUUUCUUUUUAGAUCUUCUUUAAUAAAGAGGAUAUAAAGACAUAAUAGAAAUAUUUUCCUUCACCC